AUUGAACGCUGGCGGCAGGCCUAACACAUGCAAGUCGAACGAGUGGCGGACGGGUGAGUAAUGUCUGGGAAACUGCCCGAUGGAGGGGGAUAACUACUGGAAACGGUAGCUAAUACCGCAUAACAUCGGAAGUGCCCAGAUGGGAUUUGCCUGUUGGUGGGGUAACGGCUCACCUAGGCGACGAUCCCUAGCUGGUCUGAGAGGGUGACCAGCCACACUGGAACUGAGACACGGUCCAGACUCCUACGGGAGGCAGCAGUGGGGAAUAUUGCACAAUGGGCGCAAGCCUGAUGCAGCCAUGCCGCGUGUAUGAAGAAGGCCUUCGGGUUGUAAAGUACUUUCAGCGAGGAGGCGUUACUCGCAGAAGAAGCACCGGCUAACUCCGUGCCAGCAGCCGCGGUAAUAC
rnacentral:rRNA from 1 species